rnacentral:rRNA from 1 species
UACGGAGGAUCCAAGCGUUAUCCGGAUUUAUUGGGUUUAAAGGGUGCGUAGGCGGUUUAUUAAGUCAGUGGUGAAAACCUGCAGCUCAACUGUAGAAUUGCCAUUGAUACUGAUAGACUUGAGUACAGACGAGGUAGGCGGAAUUUAUGGUGUAGCGGUGAAAUGCAUAGAUACCAUAAAGAACACCUAUUGCGAAGGCAGCUUACUAGGCUGUAACUGACGCUGAGGCACGAAAGCGUGGGGAUCGAACAGG